GACGAACGCUGGCGGCGUGCUUAACACAUGCAAGUCGUACGGUAAGGCCCUUUCGGGGGUACACGAGUGGCGAACGGGUGAGUAACACGUGAGUAACCUGCCCACAACUUUGGGAUAACGCUAGGAAACUGGUGCUAAUACUGGAUAUGUGCUCCUGCUGCAUGGUGGGGGUUGGAAAGCUCCGGCGGUUGUGGAUGGACUCGCGGCCUAUCAGCUUGUUGGUGGGGUAGUGGCCUACCAAGGCGGCGACGGGUAGCCGGCCUGAGAGGGUGACCGGCCACAUUGGGACUGAGAGACGGCCCAGACUCCUACGGGAGGCAGCAGUGGGGAAUAUUGAACAAGGGGCGCAAGCCUGAUGCAGCAGCGCCGCGUGCGGGAUGACGGCCUUCGGGUUGUAAACCGCUUUCAGCAGGGACGAAGCUUUUUGUGACGGUACCUGCAGAAGAAGCACCGGCUAACUACGUG
rnacentral:rRNA from 1 species